GCACCCGUGGUGAAAUUACGAUCAUGCUCCGCUUCGAACGGAGAGUUUGCAGGUGGGAGUCCUGCCGGGUGCGCCA
rnacentral:tRNA from 1 species